UAAGGUGCAUCUAGUGCAGUUAGUGAAGUAGCUUAGAAUCUACUGCCCUGAAUGCUCCUUCUGGC
rnacentral:pre_miRNA from 3 species